AGGAACAAGGACUUUUAAAUUUGCCGAUCUCUCUUAAUGCUUUUGAGCGUGAAUUGUGAGUUUUGAGAGUGAACUCACGAUUUCAUAAAUUGCUCCAUUUGAAAGUGAACUACUUGUCUGGGGUAUAUCCCCACUCCUAGCAAGCAAUAUAUACUCAGACCCAGGGAAUAGAUGUCACGCCAAGGGUACAUAAUUCAUUCUUGUACUAUAGAAUAUUGCUAUGUAGUGUGAUUUGUGUAGUGCAUACAUGAAUUGGCUACUUAGUAGAGGUGAUAAGGCCAAUUUGACUGUAGAAGAUAGAUGUCAGAAGGGGUUAAUGUAAAUUAUAUAGGAAUGUGAUAGAGGUCAGAUGGUUUACAACAGGAAUUGCUUUGAAGUCCUGCCUCCAGAGCCCCUCUGCAAGGUUGAAAUAUUACACAUGAGUUGCCUCUGAGCCUACUUUAAUAUAAACUAACUCUCUAAUUUGCCAUAUGCUUAUAUUUUCUUAUAGAUGGUGGAUUCCUUUGAUAUGUCACCAUUAGCAUUGAAGAGAACCAUUUUCUUCCAGUGUCAUAUCCAAAAGAAACAUUAAUAAUAACCCACAGAUGAAUAAUCAUGCCUCCUCUUGUGCAUAUUUAGAAUGGCAAGAGCACACUGCAGAAAGAG